rnacentral:ncRNA from 1 species
CUUCCGCCCACCCCGCACAGGCGGGCGGAACCGAGGCCCCGGCGCUCUCUGCCCUGACCGCGCCGUGACCUCCAUUGAAGGCCGAGGGGGACCGCACACCCGUCGGCCGGCAACCGGGCUGCGGUGCCCGGGCGGGCUGAGGGUCCCGUCCAGGCGC